CUUCUUCUUCUUCUUCUUCUUCUUCUUCUUCUUCUUCUUCUUCUUCUUCUUCUUUUCUCCUUCUUCUCUUCUUAUUUUCUUCCUCUUCCUCUUCAGCCACUUCCUCUUCUUCUCCUCCUCCUCCUCCUUUUAAUUCUUCUUCUCCUUCUUCUUCUUUUCUUCUUCUUCUCUUCCUCUCCUAUUUUUCUUCUUCUUAUUAUUAUUAUUAUUAUUAUUAUUAUUAUUAUUAUUUUCUUUUUUCUUUUUUCCUCUUAUUCUUCUCUUCC
rnacentral:lncRNA from 1 species